rnacentral:tRNA from 3 species
GGGCGAUUAGCUCAGUUGGUAGAGCAGCUGACUCUUAAUCAGCGGGUCCGGGGUUCGAGCCCCCGAUCGCCCCCCA